rnacentral:rRNA from 1 species
AACGAACGCUGGCGGCAUGCCUAACACAUGCAAGUCGAACGAUCCCUUCGGGGAUAGUGGCGCACGGGUGCGUAACGCGUGGGAACCUGCCCUUAGGUUCGGAAUACCUCAGAGAAAUUUGAGCUAAUACCGGAUAAUGUCUUCGGGCCAAAGAUUUAUCGCCUUUGGAUGGGCCCGCGUUGGAUUAGCUAGUUGGUGGGGUAAAGGCCUACCAAGGCGACGAUCCAUAGCUGGUCUGAGAGGAUGAUCAGCCACACUGGGACUGAGACACGGCCCAGACUCCGACGGGAGGCAGCAGUGGGGAAUAUUGGACGAUGGGCGAAAGCCUGAUCCAGCAAUGCCGCGUGAGUGAUGAAGGCCUUAGGGUUGUAAAGCUCUUUUACCCGGGAUGAUAAUGACAGUACCGGGAGAAUAAGCCCCGGCUAACUCCGUG